rnacentral:tRNA from 1 species
UGAUAGAUAAAAAUAUCAAUUUGAUGUGUUGUUGCCACAUAUGACAACAACACAUCAAAUUGAUAUUUUUAUCUAUCC